AUUGAACGCUGGCGGCAAGCCUAACACAUGCAAGUCGAACGAGUGGCGGACGGGUGAGUAAUGUCUGGGAAACUGCCUGAUGGAGGGGGAUAACUAUUGGAAACGAUAGCUAAUACCGCAUACCAUCGGAUGUGCCCAGAUGGGAUUAGCUAGUAGGUGGGGUAAAGGCUCACCUAGGCGACGAUCCCUAGCUGGUCUGAGAGGAUGACCAGCGACAAUGGAACUGAGACACGGUUCAGACUCCUACGGGAGGCAGCAGUGGGGAAUAUUGCACAAUGGGCGCAAGCCGGAUGAAGCCAUGCCGGGUGUAGGAAGAAGGCCUUCGGGUUGUAAAGUACUUUCAGCGGGGAGGCGUGACCCGCAGAAGAAGCACCGGCUAACUCCGUGCCAGCAGCCGCGGUAAUAC
rnacentral:rRNA from 1 species